GUAGGUGAACCUGCGGAAGGAUCAUUACAUUCAGUAGCUUGCUACUGUUAGGGGGGUCUAUGAGUCUGUAUAGUAUCACUACUGAUGAGCAGCAUGACCCUCUGUCUAUACCCUUGUCUUUUGCGCACUCAUGUUUCCUCGGCGGCUUGAUACCCGCCGGUUGGAUCAUUCUAUAACCUCUUUAAUUUUCAAUCAGCGUCUGAAAAACCUAAUAAUUACAACUUUCAACAACGGAUCUCUUGGUUCUGGC
rnacentral:misc_RNA from 1 species